GGCUCAGAGCGAACGCUGGCGGCAGGCCUAAUACAUGCAAGUCGAGCGGGUCCUUCGGGAUUAGCGGCGGACGGGUGAGUAACGCGUGGGAACGUGCCCUUUGGUACGGAACAACUGAGGGAAACUUCAGCUAAUACCGUAUGUGCCCUUCGGGGGAAAGAUUUAUCGCCAUUGGAGCGGCCCGCGUUGGAUUAGGUAGUUGGUGAGGUAAAGGCUCACCAAGCCUACGAUCCAUAGCUGGUCUGGGAGGAUGACCAGCCACACUGGGACUGAGACACGGCCCAGACUCCUACGGGAGGCAGCAGUAGGGAAUCUUGCGCAAUGGGCGAAAGCCUGACGCAGCCAUGCCGCGUGAAUGAUGAAGGUCUUAGGAUUGUAAAAUUCUUUCACCGGGGACGAUAAUGACGGUACCCGGAGAAGAAGCCCCGGCUAACUUCGUG
rnacentral:rRNA from 1 species